CUUCAGUUGGGAAACAGAAUAAGUACCAGCCGGCACUCUACCUCUAACAUCAUCCCUCCAAUAUGAACGAUGACGAGGAGAAACACAGCCACGGAGCCAGGCAGGCCCCCAACGUCAAACCCAAAUUCAAUCAGAAAGAACAUAAUAGCAAGGAGGACAUGUGGAAGAAGGUUAGGCCUGUGAGGAGAUCGAGGAGUACCGACUCGGAGAGGGGGGAGAGGGGGGAAAGAGGCAGGAGGAGAGAAAGAGACAGCAGGCGCCAGGCACAUGGGAGUCAGCGGGGGAGGAGUGAGGAGACCCGGAGCAACAGGAGGAAGGUGAAACCCCCUGAAGAUGAUGUGGAGGACACUGAAUGUGCUGUGUGUUUCUGCAAAUACAAUAACAUCUUCAAGACCCCCAAGCUGCUGGUGUGCGGGCAUACCUUCUGCCUGGAGUGCCUUGCUCGCAUCAACGUAACCACUCCUGAGGUCAAGACCCUGUGCUGCCCCAUAUGCCGUGCGCUGACCGAGCUCCCCCACGGCCAGGACCUGCCCCGCCUGGGCAACAAUGAGGACAUCAUAGGCAAACUCCCAUCACACAUGCAGAGGGCACUGUCCAUCCGCUUCAAGCGUAGCAAGGGCAAACUGCUCCUGAAGAACCCUCCUCCCAGAAGCCAGAUCAAGUCUAACAUUCUCAGCCUGCCUCAAAAGAGCCACGAUGGCCAGGUGACAGCAGGUGGUGACCUCCACUUGGAUGCCAUGGAGCAGGGAACAAUCACGACCGCUGUGGUGAACGUAGGCAGGCCUCCAAACAGGGUCAGAGGUCGCUUGCGCAGGUUGUUCCGCUCGAACCAGUGCUACUACGUCGUGGUGGGGUCCAUCAUCGCCAUCACUGUGGCACUCAUGCUGGUGGGGAUUCUGGCCUUUGUGAUCAUACCGAAUAUAAGGUCUGUGAGGCCAGGGUCACAGAGUCCGCCAAAUACGGGCAGUCCAGGAACUAGACCCUGAAGGGGUCACGGGUGGACAGGCUGGAGAGACUUAAGGGGAGAAAGAGAAUAUUACUUAAUUAUCAUUUUGCCUGCUUUUGUUCUAAUGGUGAAGAAAAACAAAAGCACUGGAACACGUUCAGGCCAGUUCAGUGAAGCACAGGAAUGAAGGAAAACAAGGGCACCAACAUUGUUUUUUAAUGAAGGACACGGCGACUCAGAGUUGCACAAAGGCAAUAAACAAGGAAAAGAGGGCAAACCUGCAUGUAUGUUGUUUUUUUACUCUUUUAUUAACAUGUUUGUAAUUAAUGUGAAAGCCAAAUAUAGCCUAUAACUGUAAAUUCAUGGACAGUUAAUGUGCAAUAAGUUGUAAAUGUUGAAUUGCGCUAAACAUUGUAAUAUAAAGACUUGAGUAUUGUUCAAUUGUAUCAGGCUGAUUUCCACAACCAGUUUAAGGUUUGUUUGUAGAACAACUCAUAAUUAACCAAAGAUGAUGUAUAGGCUAUAUACAGUAAGUAUUUUCUUUUUCCACUUCGAAGAAAGGAUUUUAUUUCACAUAAGCAAAGCAUUUUUUUGAGACGGAAAGCUCAUGGUUCAGUAUUUCCAAAACAUGUGGUAACAACUUUAUUCAUGUGAACAUAUGUUGUUCCUUUCUCUGUGUGCAGUAUGGUGGGGAUUUUCUGUCCAUUUUCAUGACAUUUUUCUCAAGUAAAAACUGAUUUUGUACAUGUCUUCUUCAGACACUCUGGUGGUGUAAACAGACUAGUUAAAAAUGUGGUUGGAAUUGUUAUUUUAGCUCGGCUGCACAUCUCGGUUGCUUAGGUGACAAACCUGUUUGACAGCAUGACUGUCUUUAUGUACGUGGCAUUGUUUCUGCUCAGUGACGUUAGCUGUGAUGAGAUAUUGAGCAGAGGUGAGUUAUGUAUGUAAUAUGCCAUCCAACUCUUUCGGUGUGGGGCGGACCAAACUUGACACACAAAUCAGUCAACAACCAACUGCAGGAACGACAUAAGCAAAUAUUAGUUCAGUAAAAUUUAAGUCUGUUUUUCCUGCAGUCCUUCAGCUUAUUGGCUACACUUUUAAACUUAAAGGCAAGUUUUAACUAGCAAGAUAAAUGCAGCACUGUGAUAUAUGGUAAAGUAAUGUGCUUCUAUAUUCCAAUAAUUGGUAAACAGUCUGUAAAACUGACAAAGGCUAUACACAUAUAACUCUUGCAGGCCUGCCCCAAAAACAGUGGGGGAAUGUGAGUAUAGUAGGCCACAUUAUUCAGGGUCAUUAUUAUUCACUUUACUUUCCUGUUUCCAUUUUAUGCCACUUUACUUUCUCCCACAACAUUUAUCUGACAGUUGUAUCAAUGAAUAACAAACCUUUUACUUUUUAAUUAUAUUUCAUUAUUUCCAUCAAUAAGUAAAACAUAUACCAGCAUACUGUGUAGUUUCAUACUCCAAUCAGAGUACAACUCCUACUAAUAACAGUAUUCUACGCCACAGGAUCUUAAACCACACUCAUGCAUGCUCAAACUCAUACUUUAACACAUGCACCUCCCCAGAUAGUUUGACACCAUCCAUCCAAUGGGGGAUUUUAGCUUGUCUGUAUUUUGGAAGCUCUGCUCUGCUCUGUGUAUUCAAUUUUGAUUUUACAAAUGUUGGUGAUUCAUUUUUGGAUCUCUAACCAAACCUUACAAACCUUCUCACAUUCCCAGAAAGCGUGUAUUAUUGUCUCCUUGUGUAUACCACAUUUUAUACAAACAGGGGAGAAAGAGGCCUCAAAAUUGAUUUAUUUUUAGUGUAAUUUAUUCUUGGCAGGAGUUUGUAUUGUAUAAGGCUGAUUUUCAUUGAUGGUAAUGGUGUUGGUUACAUUUAGGCAAUCUUUCCAGGUUAUUCUAGAGUUAUUUAUUAUUUUGGGAUCAUGUUCCAAUCCUUAUAUAUAUAUUUUUGGAGUGAAUAGUUAUCUGCCUGUGCUUCUUCACGGUGUUUGUACAAUUUCCCUAUUCAUUUCUUGUUUCGUCCUGAGUUUAGGAAAAGCCUCUGAGUAGCCAAGAGUUUUGUAGGGCUAUUAUAGUUCAAGUCAAAGUUAUCUGUUAUCCAGCUCUUUAAUUGAAGAUACCUAAAAAGUUCCUUAAUGCAAAUUAACCCUAUUACCAAUUGUUCAUCAAUGAGUGACAAAGGAAUAACAACUAUUGGAGAUAUGACUUCUCAUAUAAAGCUAUAAAUGUAGCUGGUCCAAAGGCCCCAACCAGACACUGCUUUGUGUUGAAACCACUGGUUUAAUUGUUCACUUUAUAGUAAUAAUUGCUAAUGAUCACAAUACAGUAUUUACCUCACAUUUCCCUCUGAAAUGCAGUAUGAAACCCUGUGGUAGGCCUACAAGAAAAGGUCCUAGAUUCAGGUGCAUCAUAUCUUAUAAGCUGGAAUGUUCCUACAUCCUACUGUGUUUUGAGGUAGCCUACUUGUACUUUACUUGGGUAUUUCCACCCCCGUUUCCUAAAGACACACCCCUCUAAGCCCCUUCCCGGACUAUCGAGGCAAAUAUGGUAGGGUGCACCAGAGCAGAAAGACCCCCCCCCCUCCACUCCUUACGCAAAUAAACCUUCAUACGUUCUGUGACUGCUUGGAUAGAGGUUAAACAUUGGGGAACUAAAAAAAAAAAAAGUCCUGAAAAAAGAAGCGGCUUGUUUUGGAUUUUAUUGACCAUGCUCCAUGGCUUCCACACCCUCCACCUCUGCCUUGUCUGCUGUUCUCCGGUGUCGGAGAAAUAUCUGGACCAGGAAUCCGCCGACGAAGCGGCCUGCCACCUCGGCGCACAGCCUCGGUCUGACCGGCGACUCGCCGGCUGAGCGCACCCGGUCAAAGCAGGCGUCAGCUUGGGAGCCUUCUUUCCAAGGAGACCGUGUACUGGUGGGAAGAGUAUAUACAUCUCCCCAUGUGGUUGUCAUAAUGUUGAGAGAAAAAGAUUCCAAUGAAACGAAUACAUUGUGUCCCGGUAAACUUUUGCAAUCCGCAGGGGACGCGCACUCAUCUGGUGUCCAAAACGCGCCGGUGCGCCAGCAGGCAAGCAGACUGACCUCUAACCUGCCUGGAUUAACCAUGUGCACUCAAAUAAUUCGGAAGAUUAAUUCCAAAACAUAUGCUCCACACAUCUGUAAAGUGACAUUUGUUCAGAAAACGAAUGAAUUCCCAGUUUUGAACGUGCUCAUAACGUCUCCAUGUGUGAUGGAGAAUGCGAGACAAAUGCCGUCUUUCGUGUUAACUGGCUGGUCAACCCUGAAGAGUGGCUGCGUGUCUUUGACUGCUCUGGUGUCAGAAUUAAUGCUGGUGGUGUUGUGGAGGUCCAGCAGCAGCCCUGAUGAUGCGCUACAGCCUCAAAACAUAAAAAACAAUGCCUUGCAGGCCAAUGGACACAUCCAAAGUCCCACUGGCAUCACCUGUUCCAAGGACAACUCCGGCUCUGGACACAUGAUCCCGGAACGCAGACCUGACUGAUAGCCCAGUCCAAGGCCUCAGCACCAAAAAUACACACUGUGAUCCAACCUUAUUUAUUGACUUUUACUCGGCUUUGAAAAUGCACAAAGCACAUUUGGACUUUAACCCAGUGACACAACAACUGCUUGUUUUUAGAACAGUUUUUUUUUUUUUUGCUUUAAGGAAAAGUAAGAAAUUCUGUAACAAGAAAUACCUGAGAAACAUCAGCCACAUGCCUUGUUUAGUACAUUAGUAAGACUACUGGUGGAGAGGAGGAAAAACUUAUUUUGCAAACAUGGAAUGGAGUUAAAUUAAAAGUAGGCCUGUUACAUCUCAGAAAAUGGAAAUAUUUAAAUCACAUUUAAGUACAAAGUAAUUGAAAGAUUUGUACUCAUUCGUUCCUCUUGUGUUUUGAAGAUGUUUGCUUGAUUGGUUUGCUUUUUUAUUCUUUCCAGCUUUUUAAAACAAUGUCCUGUAAAGUAUAAAAGUCAUGACGGAAGAGGUCAUUCAGAUCUUUAGUAAAAGUAGCAGUAUAGCAAUGCCUUUUAUUGCCUCAUAGUGUUAUUACUACUUUUAAUUAAAAGAUCUGAGUGUUUCUUCCACCACUAAAUAUGAGGCUGUACCGUGGCCAGUUGUUAGCUUAGCUUAGCUUAGCAUAAAGACUGGAAACAAGGGCAAGCGAUGGCUCAUCUGUCUCUGUCCGAAGAUGAGAUCUUACCUAUACCAGGACCUCUAAAGCUCAUUAAUUAACACGUUUUGUUUCAUUUGUUUAGGUAAUAAGCUAUGUGGGCUACAAAAGCUGAUGGCAAAAAUUACAAUUCACCAGUUAAGGCCUAACUAGUUGACACAAGUAACUCUGCUGGUUGCCUGGCAUGUGGCACUAUAGCCCAGAAAUAUUUUGGCACGUAAAGCCCCACAAAAUGUCUUUACACUACUUCUUCUUUCAACAAAUGAGGUAUAAUAUGUUAAUAAGCGAGUUUACAAUGCUGGUAGGCCUGAUUUGUCACAUUUGGACAGAGGUGUGGUCUCCCACACCACAAGUUCUGUCAUGUCCACUGCACCAUCACUACAACCAUUUAACCUUUAUUUAACCAGGAAGGCCAUUGAGAACAGGUUCUCAUUUGCAGUGGCGACCUGGUCAAGAGAAGCGUAGGCAUACAAGACAACAUAUAGUUUCAAAUUCAACAUAGUACAGGAAAACAGAAUACAAUAGGCUAUAAAAUUACAGAUUGAAUAGGCAGUUCAAGCUGCCGCAAAGUGAGGUGUAAAUAAGUUGAUGGGUGUGUGAAAGUGCUAUGGUGAUAACAUAAUAUACAUGAAAUAGACAAUCUACAACAUUGCUGGGGAGUAGAAAAGAGUCAGAGUACAGUUAGUGCAAGAUGUAAUCUAAUCAGAGAUGGGGAUCAGUAAUAACACCGUAAACAUGAACAGUCUGUCAAAAUGCUGUGCAUAGUAAAGAGGCAAUAUACAGUUAGUGCAAAUAUUUGUAGGUAGUGUGGUAAAAACAUGAAUAACACACUACACAUGAUAAUACAGCCUAUGUGAAUGUUAAAUGCUGUGAUGAAGUAGAGAGUCAAUGUACAGUAUGUGCAAAAUUAGGACUAUAGUGAUGUUGAAUGUUGAAAGACAGUAAUAUUUAAAGGCUGAAAUGUAGUAAAGAGUCAUUUUAGAGUUAGUGCAGGUUGUGGUCUGAAUAGUGAAGUAGGUGUAGAUGUGCAAAAACAAAAAACAAAAAAAAAUUGUAUGACAAGAAGGUGUUGCUACAGUGGUGGGGAGAAAUACAGUUAUGCAUGCCAGGGCAGGUGCAAGGUUUCAAAAACGUGUAAACAGAUGUGGAAUGGGGCUUGUCAGAGACAGUGGGAUAGGGUGUAUAAAAAUAAUACAUGAAUGAUUCUGAGGUUGUAGUCCCCCACUGCUGCUGAAAUAAGACGGUGAAAGAAGUAGAUCGAGGCUACUCAGAAAUUUUGCUCAAAUCAAAGCAGCAAUGCCACAGUUUAAAAAUACUCUUUUACACGCAUUCCAAAUCAAAAGUACACACUCUUGACAACAAUCAAUUACUGGAUUAUAAUUAGUAGGCUAAUUUAUUUUGUGUACAUAACUUUAUUGGUGGGGCUAAUUACUUUUAUAUAUGUAGGGUGGCUCAAUAAUGAUAAUUAAUGAUAAU